rnacentral:rRNA from 1 species
AUUGAACGCUGGCGGCACGCCUAACACAUGCAAGUCGAACGAGUGGCGGACGGGUGAGUAAUGUCUGGGAAACUGCCUGAUGGAGGGGGCUAACUCCUGGAAACGGUAGCUAAUACUGCAUAACAUCAGCUGUGCCCACAUGGGAUUAGCUAGUUGGUGGGGUAAUGGCUCACGUAGGCGACGAUCCCUAGCCGGUCUGAGAGGAUGACCAGCCACAAUGGAACUGAGAGACGGUCCAGACUCAUACGGGAGGCAGCAAUGGGGAAUAUAGCACAAUGGGAGCAAGCCUGAGCUAGCCAUGCCGCGUGUAUGAAGAAGGCCUUCGGGUUGUAAAGUACUGUCGGCGAGGAGGCGAUACUCGCAGAAGAGGCACCGGCUAACUCCGGUCCAGCAGCCGCGGGAAUAC